rnacentral:rRNA from 1 species
UAGGGAAUCUUCUGUGCAAUGGGGGUAACCCUGACCGAGCAACGCCGCGUGAGUGAAGAAGGUUUUCGGAUCGUAAAGCUCUGUUGUAAGUCAAGAACGAGUGUGAGAGUGGAAAGUUCACACUGUGACGGUAGCUUACCAGAAAGGGACGGCUAACUACGUGCCAGCAGCCGCGGUAAUACGUAGGUCCCGAGCGUUGUCCGGAUUUAUUGGGCGUAAAGCGAGCGCAGGCGGUUUGAUAAGUCUGAAGUUAAAGGCUGUGGCUCAACCAUAGUUCGCUUUGGAAACUGUCAAACUUGAGUGCAGAAGGGGAGAGUGGAAUUCCAUGUGUAGCGGUGAAAUGCGUAGAGAUCUGGAGGAAUACCGAUGGCGAAGGCAGCUCCCUGGCAUCGUACUGACACUGAGGUGCGAAAGCGUGGGUAGCAAACAGGAUUAGAUACCCUGGUAGUCCACGCCGUAAGCGAUGUCUACCAGUCGUUGGGUCUUUUAAAGACUUAGUGACGCAGUUAACGCAAUAAGUAGACCGCCUGGGGAGUACGGCCGCAAGGUUA